rnacentral:rRNA from 1 species
UGCGGAGGGAUCAUUACAGAGUUUUUGCCCGCAAGGGUAGAUCUCCCACCCUAUGUUAUUCCUUCUCUGUUGCUUUGGCGGGCCGCCCGGCCUCGGUCAGGCCACCGGCUCCGGCUGGUGAGCGCCCGCCAGAGGACCCUAAACCCUAAAUGUCAGUGUCGUCUGAGUACUAUAUAAUAGUUAAAACUUUCAACAACGGAUCUCUUGGUUCUGGCAUCGAUGAAGAACGCAGCGAAAUGCGAUAAGUAAUGUGAAUUGCAGAAUUCAGUGAAUCAUCGAAUCUUUGAACGCACAUUGCGCCCCCUGGUAUUCCGGGGGGCAUGCCUGUUCGAGCGUCAUUACAACCCUCAAGCAAUGCUUGGUAUUGGGCUCCGCCGCUUACCCGGCGGGCCUUUAAACCAGUGGCGGCGCCGUCGAGGCCCUGAGCGUAGUAAAUCUCCUCGCUAUAGGGACCCGGCGGACGCUGGCCAUCAACCCCCACCUUCUUAGUUUGACCUCGGAUCAGGUAGGGAUACCCGCUGAACUUAAGCAUAUCAAUAAGCGGAGGAAAAGAAACCAACAGGGAUUGCCUCAGUAACGGCGAGUGAAGCGGCAACAGCUCAAAUUUGAAAUCUGGCCCUCUCAGGGUCCGAGUUGUAAUUUGUAGAAGAUGCUUCGGGUGUGGCUCCGGUCUAAGUUCCUUGGAACAGGACGUCAUAGAGGGUGAGAAUCCCGUAUGUGACUGGCUGCCUUCGCCCAUGUGAAGCUCUUUCGACGAGUCGAGUUGUU